rnacentral:rRNA from 1 species
UACGUAGGGUGCGAGCGUUGUCCGGAAUUAUUGGGCGUAAAGAGCUUGUAGGCGGUUUGUCGCGUCUGCCGUGAAAAUUCGAGGCUCAACCUCGAACUUGCGGUGGGUACGGGCAGACUAGAGUGUGGUAGGGGAGACUGGAAUUCCUGGUGUAGCGGUGAAAUGCGCAGAUAUCGGGAGGAACACCAAUGGCGAAGGCAGCUCGCUGGGACGGUACUGACGCUGAGACGCGAAAGCGUGGGGAGCAAACAGG